rnacentral:rRNA from 1 species
UACAGAGGGGGCAAGCGUUGUUCGGAAUUACUGGGCGUAAAGGGCGCGUAGGCGGCCUGCUAAGUCGAACGUGAAAUCCCUGGGCUCAACCCAGGAACUGCGUCCGAUACUGGUUGGCUUGAAUCCGGGAGAGGGAUGUGGAAUUCCAGGUGUAGCGGUGAAAUGCGUAGAUAUCUGGAGGAACACCGGUGGCGAAGGCAGCACUCUGGGCCGGUACUGACGCUGAGGAGCGAAAGCGUGGGGAGCGAACAGG